GUAGUGACGACAAAUAACUCACGACAUGCGUAAGCAUGUCUUGAAGGAAUGAGUAAGAAGCAAAGAGUCUUACGAAAUCAAUUGGAGGGCAAGUCUGGUGCCAGCAGCCGCGGUAAUUCCAGCUCCAAUAGUGUAUAUUAAAGUUGUUGUGAUUAAAACGCUCGUAGUUGAAAAAGAUAUAUAUCCAUCGUUCAAGACAUGAGUAUGACUUGAUCAUAUGAAUGUGUUGAACAACAUAAAUGGAUAUAGUAAGGAAUGAUGCGACAUGAAUGUGUUGUGUUGUUAAUUACUUUGAAAAAAUUAGAGUGCUUAAAGCGAAUCUAUUAAAGAAUAGUGAAGCAUGGGACAAUAAAGUGAAUAGGAGAUCUACUGAUUUCGUAUUAGGAAGAAAGAUUAAGAGGAAUAAUUGGGGUAAUUCAGAAAAUAACGGGAGAGGUGAAAAUUCAUGAUCGUUAUAAGAUGAACUAGAGCGAAAGCAUUUUACUCAAUUAUGUUCAUUAAUCAAGAACGAAAGUUAGGGGAUCGAAGACGAUCAGAUACCGUCGUAGUCCUAACUAUAAACGAUGUCAACGAAGGAUUGGAUAAAUUUGAAGACUGAUAAUGAUAUUCAGCAUUGCUGGAUAACAUUAGAAGUCGAAUACACCUUAUUCAGAACUUGAAGAGAAAUCUUGAGUUAUUGGACUUCAGGGGGAGUAUGGUCACAAGGCUGAAACUUAAAGGAAUUGACGGAAGGGCACACAAGGAGUGGAGCCUGCGGCUUAAUUUGACUCAACACGGGAAAACUUACCAAGACCGAACAUUAUGAGGAAUGACAGAUUAAGAGAUCUUUCAUGAUUUAAUGGUGAGUGGUGCAUGGCCGUUCUUAGUUGGUGGUAUGAAUUGUCAGGUUAAUUCCGGUAACGAACGAGACUGAAACCUAUUAAUUAGUUCUGUGCCUAUAAGACACAGGUGUUAGCAAUAACAGAUAGCGAUAUCACUUCUUAAAGGGACACAUUUCAAAUGUUCUUUGAUUAUCAAAAGUUGGAUUCUGUCCAACGUGAUAAACGAAGAAAAAAGAAACAGGAAGCAUUCAGCAAUAACAGGUCUGUGAUGCCCUUAGACAUCUUGGGCUGCACGCGCGCUACAAUGAAGAUAGUAGAGAGUAAUAUAUAUAUGACAGUUUCGUAAUYRURUAUUGUUUACAAURYUGRUUAUAGAAAGUGUCAUAAACCGAAACCGUCAGGUGGAGGAAAACUUGAAGCAUCGUACAUGACUGGGAUAAAUGAUUGGAAUUAUUUGUUUUGAACGAGGAAUUCCUUGUAAUAUCACGUCAUCAACGUGAGAUGAAUACGUCCCUGCCCUUUGUACACACCGCCCGUCGCUCCUACCGAUUGAAUAAAGAGGUGAAAUUCUAAGAGUCAAGUAAUUCUGUUAUUUGACAAAUGGAUUUAAAUCUCCUUAUUUAGAGGAAGGAGAAGUCGUAACAAGGUUUCCGUAGGUGAACCUGCGGAA
rnacentral:rRNA from 1 species